CUCGGGUCUUCUCGGGACGCCCUAACUGUCGAUCCUCGGGUGGCCAUGGGGGACCUUGGCAAUCUUCAACCGCCUGCGCUCGGUGCUUAGCAACCAGGUAGCGGCCGCCGGGCGAGCUCGGGACCGCGCGGCGGUCGUGGGAGGCGGAGUCGGCCAGUUGAUAAACGGCCGAGUUGGCCCGCGCGGGAUUGAAGUGACUUCGCUCGCCCACGACUGUGAGCAACCCUUGGUGGUGCUCCGGUAGACGUCGGGUCCAUUCACUGCUCUCGCCGAGUUUAGUGGCGUCUCCCCAGGAAGAGCUAAAGGCACCUCACUGGUCGCACCCCCCUCUAGCUGUUGAGCUAGCGCCUCACCCAGUUCCUGGUCACUUGAGCUUCUCACAGCGCUGUCCCAGUGUCUUCAAUUCAUGGUUAUUUAGUAGUGACCCGCUGAAGAGAGAAGUCGGUGUCAAGUAUCUUUUUUUUUUUUUCUUUAGGUAAUGCCUCACUAUGUAGACCUGGUCUUGAACUCUGUAAUCUUCCUGCCUCUGCCUCCUGAGUGCUGGGACUUUUGGUAUGCUGUUUACCAUCAUGUAACCUAAUCUUGAAAGUUGUAUCCUGCCGUUUUUGCCACAUUUUACUGGUCACGCCCAACACCUUGGUAAAAGUAAGGCAGAAAUUGCACAAGAGAUAGAGCCACUGCCCAAUGGAUGGUGGAUGGUAAAGGACAGUGUCCCAGAGGGACUACGUUCCUGCUCAGCACUCGUUUCUGUGCUAGGUUCCUAGCUGGAUGUUAAAAGUAGAAUUCCUGGCAUGGGAUAUGACUGAACAUACUAUUUAGCUGUACAAGUAUCUGUACAAGAAGAAAUGGCACUUAUUACAAAAGAAAGACAUGAUUUUUUGGUUUUAAGUAAAUACAACAUAAUACAUCCUACAAGUGACUGGACUCUUAGGUCUUCGUGAUGGAAGACCACCAUGAUACCAUUACUCUCCCAGUAAUGAAAUGAGGUGCCAAUGAUGAAACAUGGUCACAGUUAGCUCCCUUACAAGAUUCCUUCCUAAACAUCUGACCAGGACCAAGACUGGAAUUUCUCAUCUGUGACAAUAGUGGAGUGCUUUCCCAUAUGCCUGGUUCUGGUUCUGUUGAGAGGACCUACCUAGGUGACUUUCUUCAGCCCUGCCUGUGCCAUAGAAGUUGGACCACAUUCCUUUGAAGGCUUUGCAAACCUUUGGAAGUCUUUUUCUGAGCAUGCCAUGGUAUGUUUGACUGCAGUGCCAAAAAUCACAACGGGGCAAGCAUAACCGAUGGGUGUUUCUUUUCAUCAGUUGCUCAGGGUCACUUUGUGUUCACUAGAGUUUUAUCUGGUGUGUUGAUGAGCCCAUGAAGAUAAGAGGCAGUUCCUUUUGUAGCUGGGAUGGCAGUGCCGAUUCCUACUGGAAGAAGGACAGCAGGCAAGACACCUAGACUACUGUGAAAAGCACAGGCUCUUCAGACAGAUGUGAGCUGCAGGACCAGGAAGCCAGAACUGCAGGCUGAAGUGGCUUCUGUACCCUGCUUUCCAGCACUCACUUCACACCCAGAGUGGCUGGCAGAUGGUCAUCAGUGUGCAAAGAGGCAGGUGGGGCCAGGAUAUUAGUGGGCCAGCAUAGCAGAUUCUUUGCUGCCUGGGCUACAGCCAAGCAGGGGUCAGCAGGAGCCAUCAGCUGCUUUGAUGCUGUUCCCCAGCUUUUGAUAAACGGUUUUGUAGCUAAAUCAGAGACAGAAAGGCAGCUCUACAAAAGGCAGGACCCAGCCAUCAUUCCUCACAGCCACAGCAGGCCCUGUAGCCUGCAUGGUGGUCUCUGCAGUCUGCACAAAUCUGUUUCCCAGACACAGGGAUGCCAUUCCCGGGCCGUCACAUGUACAGAUGCAGACACCAUCCUCCAGAACCUGGGACCCACCAACAAGUAAGUUUCACACCAAACCAGGUGGCACACUGAGACUUGUCCUGCGUUGGAUCCUGGGACUGCUGUGUGGGUGGCAACUGUGCAGUCCCACUGGCUCAGGUCAUGUUGAGGAAGAAGCCAUUAGAGGAGAAUGUCAGAAUGUCCCCUCCUCCAUUUCUCUCAGGAGAGCUGGAGGUUUCCCUCCCCAAGUGAAAGGUAGUAUGGGAGGAGGGCAGAACUACAAGGCCCAAUACGGCCUCUUGGGGCAAGAACACGGUCUUGGCUGAACCUGAUAGGUCACUUAUUAUCUACAUACGUGGGUCUUUACUUUUACAAGGCCUCAAUUUCCUUCAGUGUGGAAUAUCUAGGGAUUAAAUUGCAUUCUCCAAAAACAAUGACUGAAGUCUUAACCUUGGGGGGUGACCUUUGCUGAAAACAGGGUCCUUUAGAAGUGAACAACUUAAAGCAGGUUCAGUAAAGCGGCCCCUUUAUAAGGACAGCAGCCCUUAUAAAGGAGGAGAAAUCUAUACUGGGUAGUCAGGGGAAGAUGGCCAGAGGACUGAAGAGAAGUGGGCAGCUGUCUGGAAAGCUGAGGACUGUGG